rnacentral:rRNA from 1 species
AUACGGAGGGUGCAAGCGUUACUCGGAAUCACUGGGCGUAAAGCGCGCGCAGGCGGUCUUUUAAGUUGGAUGUGAAAGCCUACGGCUCAACCGUAGAACUGCAUCCAAAACUAUUAGACUAGAGUGUGGGAGAGGAGGAUGGAAUUAGUUGUGUAGGGGUAAAAUCCGUAGAGAUAACUAGGAAUACCAAAAGCGAAGGCAAUCUUCUGGAACACUACUGACGCUGAGGCGCGAAAGCGUGGGGAGCAAACAGGAUUAGAAACCCCAGUAGUCC